rfam:Branchiostoma floridae genomic scaffold BRAFLscaffold_174, whole genome shotgun sequence.
ACCCCGGCCCUUUUAAGGGCCAUCAAAUCUUUUCAAAAGAACUGUAU